AUGAUAAAGCCCCGAUUUCUUGCUGAGAUCAUAGUUUGAAGUUCAAGUGUUGCCAGUAAAAUUAGCGCCUUUAUUCCUAAUUAAAGUAGGCUUAGCUGGAUCGGUUAAAACAACAAAUGGUUUUUCAUGAAGUAUUUGGGUAGUUUUGUCCAUAUGUUCCUUUCUUUGUUCCGUUUGAUUUAAAAACAAUGAUGCCGCUUUAUUUCUUAAAAAAGGAUAACCCAACAAGUAAUAACGGUUAUGUUUAGGUUGAUCUAGGGUUUGAUUAGCAAAGAUAUUUAAGCUAUCACCUAAUUGUUUAUAGGCUCUAAUGGCAGGUUGGAUAAAGUGAUUAAAAAUUUUGCGAUCAGUAGAACUGUCAGGAAACAAAAGGAUUUCUAAGACUGCAAAAUCAGCAUAGGGAUGAACAUCAGUAUCCUUAGUUUGACUGUUCUUCAUCCACUGCUGCUCCUUUUGUUCUUUACCUUUUUGUUCUUGGGGCAAGGUGUAAUCCACAAAAUCGUGCGCAGUGAAAGCCGUUUUGGGAAUUGUGCUUGUCUGCGCUGAUACAAAGGCUUGUGCACCAUUAGGUAAUCCUAUUUUCGUUUGGUGACACAAAGUCUUUCACGUUAGUAUAUUUGCCCAGUCUAAAAUCCACCGUUCAACCCAAUUCUGCAUCAGGUUGACUGUAAGGUAAAUAGUCUGCCUCAUUCUUUAACCCUGCAGCUACAUGAACAUUAGUCGCUAAAUAAACCCGGAAUGGUUGGUAUUGAUUCCCCUCCUUUCAGUCAAUCAACAAACCAGUACCAUAAAAGGCAACGAAGUUUACUUCAUUCUUCUUUUUAGUCUGAAUUCUGUUGGUAAAACCUAAAGAGAAGGUCAAGUCAUAGUUAAUCCGGUGUAAUUCAGCACUACUAGGAAUAUUGUUAAUGUAAAACUCACCAGAUUUAUCAGAUAGUGAAAUUGUUGCACAAGCGUUGAGCACAGUUAAUGUAGCUAUGCUAGCUAGAAAACUAAACCGCUUUAAGGCAAUUACCAUGGUUGCUAAUUCUAAUAAAGAGUUAAUCUGGCACUUUUGGGAUUAAAUGCCAGCUGAUUAAUUGCCUAAAUUAUUAGUUGUCUCUUGUGUUUCCACAAAGCGGAAUUGUUCGUCUUUGCUUUCUUUAAUCUUCUGAUACAAAUGAGUUUGAUGAUCUUUAGCAAACUUAGCGUAAUAAUUCUUGGUGUUCUUAUCGCCAAAGAUCAAGUCAUAGCUACCCUUAGAAAUACUUGAACCUUUAUCGUUCUGUGGAGUACGUAAGAUUUGGCUCAUCCCAAUGUCAUUGCGUGCAAGACUACCAGAUUGGUAAAUUUCCAACACCCCAAAGUAAAUGCUGUUCAAUUUAUUGUCUUUACCAAUUAAAGGACUACCCGAAGAGCCACCCGGAAAAUUAGUGUCAUUCAACAUUAAGCCAUAGCCGUAUUGUUGGAACCGCUUUUCGUGGUACUUCAAGGUAAAGUUGCUAAAGGAAGCAAAGUUCACCACACCUUUGUCUUGGAUCACUACCCCAUUAAGCCAGGACUCGUUUUGUUGGUUGGCAAAGAGUUGACUACCAGUGCUUUCAUUGUAAGCACGGUAAUUGUUAGUUAGGACGGGAAUCCUGUCUAACUUAUUAAUAUAGCUUUGAUCUUUUGUAAAUCACUGGCUCUUUUGGUUAUGAUCCGAAUUGUUGUGAUCAAAGCUCUUUUGUUGCGCUAAUAAAAGGUUAGCGGUAUUGUUUCCUUUAUUAAUCACUGGAUAACCUAACAAGUAGUAGUUUUGUUCGAUGAACUGGUUGAGUGGUUUGGCACUAAACAGUUCCAAAGUAUCACCUAAAGCCUUGUAAGCCUUAAUUGCUGGUUUGACAAAGUCAUGAAGAAUUUGCUGAUCGCGUUGAUUUUUAAGGUUUAGGUUAACUUCAAUCACGGCAAAGUCAGCAUAGUUGCCAGGAAGACUUGUUGUG
rnacentral:sRNA from 1 species